CCUACGGGCGGCAGCAGUGAGGAAUAUUGGUCAAUGGUCGUAAGGCUGAACCAGCCAAGUCGCGUGAAGGAAGACGGCCCUAUGGCUUGUAAACUUCUUUUAUACGGGAAUAAAGUUAUUCACGUGUGGUUUUUUGUAUGUACCCCAUGAAUAAGCAUCGGCUAAUUCCGUGCCAGCAGCCGCGGUAAUACGGAGGAUGCGGGCGUUAUCCGGAUUUAUUGGGUUUAAAGGGAGCGUAGGUUGUUUUUUAAGCCUGCGGUGAAAGUUUGUGGCUCAACCAUAGAACUGCGGUGGGAACUGGAUGGCUUGAGUGCGUGGAAGGUAGGCGGAAUGCGUGGUGUAGCGGUGAAAUGCAUAGAUAUCACGAAGAACUCCGAUUGCGAAGGCAGCUUACG
rnacentral:rRNA from 1 species